GUUGGUGUUGAUUGCGGUGAGGGUCCACCCGUUCCCAUCCCGAACACGGAAGUUAAGCUCACCUGCGCCGAAAAUACUUGUCUGGAGACGGACCGGGAAGAUAGGUAAUGCCAACA
rnacentral:rRNA from 2 species